CUUUUAACAAGACAGUGUCUUAGAACAUUGUCACCGCACACACCGCUGCUACUGAACCAUCAGCUCAGUUGUGUUGAAGAUGGGCCAUCUCACUCUUGUGGCUUUUCUCACAGUGCUGAUCAGCCUUUUUGUGGAAGCCGAAGCAAAUUCAUUUGUUUACAACUAUGAAAGCCUACGGAUUGGAGGACUGGUCUUUGCCAUCUUGUUGAUCAGUGCAGGAGUCGGUUUUUUGCUUU